UUGGCAAUUGAAAAUAAUUUGUAUUCAUUUUUGAUUGUGUAACUUCCUUGCCUGUGUUGGUGACUUCACAAGACAAGGCUGGAGUUACUGUUAGAGAUAAGCAUAUUUACCUAAUGAGAAUGACUACUACAUUUUCUUGUUUUCAGGUACAACUUCCCUUUUUAGCUUUAAAUUGUCUGGCAUAAGAAUGAAGAAAUCUGAAUCAGACCAGCUCAAGCAAAGCCUUUUCUGCAGCCUUAUAAAAACACAGGAGUGACUUAAGAGAAGCUUCACCAGUACUGGUCUCAGCACAGACUAAGGAAGCCUCGGAGCUUUCCCUCACAUUCUGGGCUGGCUGCUGCCUGCCUUCAGCUGUGAACCAGACAUGGGGUUCCAGCCCUACAGCACUGAACCCCCAAGUUGCUGCAACUGAGCUGGGUUUUACAGGGACUCCAGCAGUGACCUGCUCCGUGGAAUGGCUCUUGGCAGAGCCAGCACUUGUGUAUGGUUGAAUAAGAAAACUGAUCCAGGUGAAUGUGCUUACAACAGGCACUGCAGAAUCAGCUGAAUCCU